AGCCUUGGGGUGUAAGCACGCAAGAUUGCAAAUCUUGAGAUGCAGAUUAACGUCUGCCGGGGCUU
rnacentral:tRNA from 2 species